GGAGAGAUGACUCAGUGGUUAAGAGUACUGACUGCUUUUGCAGAGGACCUGGGUUCAAUUCCCAGCAUCCA
rfam:Mesocricetus auratus contig181535, whole genome shotgun sequence.